rnacentral:misc_RNA from 1 species
UUUCCGUAGGUGAACCUGCGGAAGGAUCAUUAAUGAGUUGUCAUGGGGUUCGAUGCUCGCAGCCAUUUUUUGGAUGCAUGUGCUUGCCCUAACAAUCAUCUUCUUCCAAACACAUGUGCACAUUUUUGCGGGAGUCUUGAGUUGGUUGCCGCUCUUGGGUGAUUUUCUCACAAUCCCUUAAAUCAUUUUACGCUAUUAACAAUGUUGAACGUGCUCUGUGCUGCAAGGCCAUUAUUAUAAUACAACUUUUAACAACGGAUCUCUUGGCUCUC